rnacentral:rRNA from 1 species
CAUGCAAGUCGAGCGAGAAGCUAACUUCGGUUAGUGGACAGCGGCGCACGGGUGAGUAACGCGUGGGAAUUUACCUUUCGGCGGGGGACAACAGUUGGAAACGACUGCUAAUACCGCAUACGCCCUACGGGGGAAAGAUUUAUCACCGAAAGAUAGGCCCGCGUUAGAUUAGGUAGUUGGUAGGGUCAAAGCCUACCAAGCCGACGAUCUAUAGCUGGUUUGAGAGAACGAUCAGCCACACUGGAACUGAGACACGGUCCAGACUCCUACGGGAGGCAGCAGUGGGGAAUCUUGCACAAUGGGCGAAGGCCUGAUGCAGCCAUGCCGCGUGAGUGAGAAGGCCUUCGGGUUGUAAAACUCUUUUAGAUGUGAAGAUGAUGACGGUAACAUCAGAAAAAGCACCGGCUAACUUCGUGCCAGCAGCCGCGGUAAUACGAAGGGUGCUAGCGUUGUUCGGAAUUACUGGGCGUAAAGAGCGUGUAGGCGGCUUAGCAAGUUAGAGGUGAAAUCCCAGGGCUCAACCCUGGAACUGCCUUUGAUACUGCUAAGCUUGAGAUCGUGAGGGGAUAGCGGAAUACCCAGUGUAGAGGUGAAAUUCGU